rnacentral:rRNA from 1 species
GGUUAAGCGACUAAGCGUACACGGUGGAUGCCUAGGCAAUCAGAGGCGAUGAAGGACGUGCUAAUCUGCGAUAAGCGUCGGUAA